GGGAGAGAGAGAGUGGACUCAUGCUGCAGAUUCUCUGACAGUCUCCACAUGGGCUUUGCAGUGCCCAGUGGAAUGUGGAGGAAACAUCAUAUACUGAAGACCCAGUGAAGAGUCAACUGACGCUCAGUUGUGACUGACGUCAGUAAUUCUGCAAGUGUAGGCAUGCAGAAGCAACAUAAAGAAACACACAAUCGAAUGCAGGCAGAAACACAAACACAAAACGUGAAUGCCUUUGCCGACCAGCUGCGCGCACCAGCAAAGGACAAGCAUCUACCGGCUGCGGGAGCCGAGGUGUUCUGUCCUGUGGUUCAUCCAUCCGACCCAUGGGCUCUUUUGGCUUGGCUCCACGUGGCACAAAAGGGCCGCAGCAUUCCUGAUGUCGGCAGCUAAUCUGCGGUGUCAGCUCGUGUUAAUGCCGCGCUGCCAAAUCUGAGGGCGCACAGGGCCGUGGAAUAUUAAAAACCCCACCAACGGAAUUCCUUCAGAGGACGGAGGAGGGCAGGGCACGGGCCGGUGAGGGGAUUAGAACAAGGCUUGGGAUCAGCUAAGAUUGAAUGCUGAGUGGUGGGCGGGCAGAGUUUACUGUAACGAAUGUGAGGAGAGAGGGAUGAGAUGGGUGAAGAGGAGAAUGGUGUGAGGAGAGAGGGAGGACAUAUGAUGAAGGAAGGGUGGGAGAAGACUGAACAUCUUGACCUCAGCCCAGGAAUUAGAGCGCAGUUUUUUUUUUUGGUUUAUGCUGUUCCUUGUUCGCACCUGGAUUCAUUCAAUUCAUCUUCCUAAACCUUUUGUGCACGCUAACCCAACACUUUCAAUUUCAGUUGCAAAAACAAAACAAAUAUAUAAUCUUGCUAGUUUCUGUUAGUAUCUCUAAACUGCCAGUUGCGGAUUGAAACUGGCAGGAUAGGAUGAUUCUAUGAAUACCCUGUUAUCCUGUUAAUUAGGGUUUCAGCAGUAUUGUAUUAUGUUUGUUCCGGUUCAUUAAUAUUAUUAUUAUUAGGGUUUCAGCAGUUCUUCUUCUUGUAUCCCUACUGCAAAUUAUAAAACGGUAAUUGAUUUUACAUAUGCUAAUUUGCAUAAUUAUCGUUAAUUUACUAUUAGGCUGUAUCUUUUGAACCGUUCGAGCUACAGACACAAAACCAACUUUCUUUCACACAUUUAGGAUAUCCCUACUGCAAACUAUGAAAUGGAAAUGUAUUUUACAAAUGCUAAUUACCAUAAUUACCAUUAAUGAACUGUUAGGUUGUAUCUUUUAAACCGUUCCAGCUACAGCCACGAAACCAACUUUGUUAUAACAGAUUAGUGUCUUGCUGUUUGUGAAACAUUUAUCGAGCUACAGACACGAAAAAACUUUUUUACACCAGUUUAGGCCAUCCCUACUUAAAAUUAGGAUACGUUUAUUGAUUUACCAUAUGCUAAUUUGCGUAAUCAGCAUUAAUUAUCUAUUAGGUUGUUUCUGUUGAACCGUUUGUGCUACAGACAAGAAACCAACUUUGUUUUACAUGGUUAAGAUAUACCUACUGCAAAUUAAGAAAUGGUAAUUGAUUUUACAUGUGCUAAUUUGUGAUUAUCGUUAAUUUAAUAUUAGGCUGUAUCUUUUGAACCGUUCGAGCUACAGACACAAAACCAACUUUCUUUCACACAUUUAGGAUAUCCCUACUGCAAACUAUGAAAUGGAAAUGUAUUUUACAAAUGCUAAUUACCAUAAUUACCAUUAAUGAACUGUUAGGUUGUAUCUUUUAAACCGUUCCAGCUACAGCCACGAAACCAACUUUGUUAUAACAGAUUAGUGUCUUGCUGUUUGUGAAACAUUUAUCGAGCUACAGACACGAAAAAACUUUUUUACACCAGUUUAUGCCAUCCCUACUUAAAAUUAGGAUACGUUUAUUGAUUUACCAUAUGCUAAUUUGCGUAAUCAGCAUUAAUUAUCUAUUAGGUUGUUUCUGUUGAACCGUUUGUGCUACAGACAAGAAACCAACUUUGUUUUACAUGGUUAAGAUAUACCUACUGCAAAUUAAGAAAUGGUAAUUGAUAUUACAUGUGCUAAUUUGUGAUUAUUGUUAAUUUAAUAUUAGGCUGUAUCUUUUGAACCAUUCGAGCUACAGGCCCGCAACCAACUUUUGUACACCAGUUUAGGCCAUCCCUACUUCGAAUUAGGAAACAUUUAUCGAUUUAACAUAUGCUGUCAUGGAAAAAUUUAUCUUCUUGCCAAAAAGAAUGCAACAACUCAAAAAGAUGCAAUAACUCAGAAGUUUGUGGAUUCAAAUUAAACUUUUAAUGAGCAAUCAUUAAAGCAGAGUUGACCUGCAGGAACAACUGUCUUACCAACUCAGGACACACACAUUUAUACAGUGUUAUCUUGCAUAAACUUUUUGGCCAUCCCCUUAUGCUAAUUCCUGGGCGGAUCUUUCUCCCCAUCUGCCACCAUUGUUUCACAACCUUCCAGAAUCUGUUCCUUGUUAAAUAUUGGUGGCGCAGACUUUAGAAACCUGUAUAAAAAUAAUAGAGCCAUUAGUGCCCUUUAUAUUCAUUGUUACGUGAUUACUGUGCUUAUUACCCAUCAUUAUACGGUUACCAUAUUGGUUAUUUUACCAUUGAAGAUUGAUGAUUAUACUGUUACAUUCAUAAAGGUGAGAGUUCAGAAACACUCCUAUGACAAACCUCUUACACCUACAGUGGGGAGAACAAGUA